rnacentral:misc_RNA from 1 species
GAUGAAGAACGUAGCGAAAUGCGAUAAGUAAUGUGAAUUGAAGAAUUCAGUGAAUCAUCGAAUCUUUGAACGCACAUUGCGCCCGGUAGUAUUCUGCCGGGCAUGCCUGUUCGAGCGUCAUUUCAACCAUCAAGCCCCAGCGCUUGUGUUGGGGGCCUGCGGCUGCCGCAGCCCCCUAAAAGCAGUGGCGGGCUCGCUAUCACACCGAGUGCAGUAGUUCAUCUUCUCUCCGGUCUUGUGAGGCGGGUUCCGGCCGUGAAACACCCCACUACAUUCAAGGUUGACCUCGGAUCAGGUAGGAAUACCCGCUGAACUUAAGCAUAUCAAUAAGCGGAGGA